AAAAUUGGAACGAUACAGAGAAGAUUAGCAUGGCCCCUGCGCAAAGGA
rnacentral:snRNA from 12 species